ensembl:lncRNA
GCCACGAGCAGCGGGAAGCAGGGAAGUGAGGUCAAAGUCAACGGUGGGGUUCGCGUCUGGACGACUGCUAUUAUAGUCCUAAUGAGGCUUAAACACCACACGUUGCUCCUGCGAUGAACUCGGUUUCUCAUUAUGCUCCAUAUCUGCUCCAGGAUCAGCCAGCCACAUGGCAGGAGUGGUUUCCCCUUCAUCCGGCUGAUGAAUUAUCAAGGGGACAUGCACACUACUGGAAUAACAAUAAUUUGAGGCACAAAUAGCCCUGAUCCCAAAUCUUAUUUUUUUCUGGGUCAUGGAGCAGCCCAGGAAGGACCUUGCAGCAUUUAGAUUCCAGUGUUAAGGCCAUCAGAAAACAUCCUGGUUUUUCUUCAAAUUUAGAACACUUGGUUGGACAGGAUGAAGCUCCAUCUGCUGUGGAGUUGCCUAACUCAGCUCAAGAACAAGCUUGCAGGCACUUGGAUUUCCAACACAGUGGCCCAACCAGCAGUAUGAAGAGAUGCCUAGACUCCUCUUUCCAACCCCAUGGGUCCCUGCCAGUAGCUUACUAUCACAAAACGAAUUAUAUGAUAAAUAUUUGCC